CCUACGGGUGGCAGCAGUGGGGAAUAUUGCACAAUGGGGGAAACCCUGAUGCAGCGACGCCGCGUGAGCGAUGAAGUAUUUCGGUAUGUAAAGCUCUAUCAGCAGGGAAGAAAAUGACGGUACCUGACUAAGAAGCCCCGGCGAACUAUGUGCCAGCAGCCGCGGUAAUACGUAGGGGGCAAGCGUUAUCCGGAUUUACUGGGUGUAAAGGGAGCGUAGACGGCGUGGCAAGCCAGAUGUGAAAGGCCGGGGCUCAACCCCAGGACUGCAUUUGGAACUGUCAUGCUAGAGUGUCGGAGAGGCAGGCGGAAUUCCUAGUGUAGCGGUGAAAUGCGUAGAUAUUAGGAAGAACACCAGUGGCGAAGGCGGCCUGCUGGACGAUGACUGACGUUGAGGCUCGAAAGCGUGGGGAGCAAACAGGAUUAGAUACCCUUGUAGUC
rnacentral:rRNA from 1 species